rnacentral:lncRNA from 1 species
GCGCCCCGCCGCGGCGCCCGCUCCGCUGACCUCGCCGUCCGCGCAAUGGCGGACGAGGAGAAGGAUGACAAGGGCGCCGGCGUCAAGCAGCUCCUCGGCAUCCGCGGCGGCGAGCGCACCGACGACAUCUGGAAGAUCCGCCUGCAGCUCACCAAGCCCGUGACCUGGGUGCCGCUCAUCUGGGGCGUCAUGUGCGGCGCCGCCGCGUCCGGCCACUACACCUGGACCCCG